rnacentral:lncRNA from 1 species
CUCUGUAUCAUCCCUGGGGGAUUCUUGGGCAGGCUUCUCCCACCACUCUUCAUUAUCAAUGCCCGUCCCUGACAUCAAAGCUCCUCUGUUGGUGGCCUACGAACAUAAGAAAUGCCCAGCUGGAUCGGUCCAAAGGCCCGUCUAGUCCAGCAUCCUGUUCUAACCAGAUACCUAUGGGAAGCGCCCAAGCAGCUUCCAAGCACAAGGGCAUUCUUGACACCUGUAGCUCCCAGCAACUGGUGUUCAGAAGCAGACUGCAUCCCAAGGUGGAGGUGGAGCUUAGCCCCUGUGGCUAUUAACCAUCAAUAGCCUUAUUCUCCAUAGCAGCGCUGGCUGGUGCCCAUUGUGACUGGUGAAAGGCAGAGCCAAUGCCAAAGAUAGGCAGAGCCAGAUAAUUCUAGUUUUGUCCCCAUCUUCCUUCUCCCUGCUUAGUUCCACAAGGGCAUCUUUGAGACUUGAAAAGGAGGAAGCAGACAGCCAGUGUCCCCCUUCUGGACUGGUUGUAUGAAGGCAGACAGGUAGGACUGGCAGAGGGCAGUCCUAAUGGACCGCCCUCCACUUCUCCAUAGGCUAUAUAACAAUGAUUUGGAAGCGACUUGAGUCAUGUGCUGCUGCCGCCACCUUUCUCCUACUGGCUACAAGUCUCUGGGCCCAUUACAGAGGACUAGUUGUACGGAUCUGGAGUGAGGGCAAGAUAAGGGUGUUGGGAAUUCCAUUCCUCCCAUGCUGCAGACAGAUGUGUGGGAUUGUUACAUGUCACAUGUCUGUUUACAUUCCAGCACUGAUUGCUGGAGUCUUGUGAGAGGAAAUUGAGAUACGCUGUUUCCGCUCUGUAUAGCUUUUGCUUUUGCAGCCUCUCUCUGAGGAAGAAAGACAGAGAGAGGAACCAUGUUUUCUUUGUUCUGUUACGUUUGAUUUCAUUUGCAAUAAAUUAGGCUUAGAUGUUACUCCUCAAGGCUGAGCUUCUGCUUUGAACUCUGCCUGUCGUGUGCUCAUGUUCCUGGAUAAUAAUAAUAAUAAUAAUAAUAAUAAUAAUAAUAAAAUAAAAAUAUUUAUACCCCACCCUCCCCAGCCAAGGCCGGGCUCAGGGCGGCUAACAACCAAUAAUAAAAAUGAGUUGAAUGAAUACAACUUAAAAACAAGAUUAAAAUACAACAUUAAAACAUUAAAACAAUUAAAAUGCAGCCUUAUCACAGGAGGAGAAAGGAAAAAGAAAGGGGGGGGAAUCAAAUUGACUCCAAGCCAAAGGCCAGGCAGAACAACUCUGUCUUACAGGCCCUGCGGAAAGAAAUCAGAACCUGCAGGGCCCUGGUCUCAUGAGACAGAGCGUUCCACCAGGCUGGAGCCAGUGUUGAAAAAGCCCUGGCUCUGGUUGAGGCUAAUCUAACUUCCUUAGGGGCUGGGACCUCUAGAGUGUUGCUAUUUAUGAACCUUAAGGUCCUCCGUGGGGCAUACCAGGAGAGGCAGUCCCAUAGGUACGAGGGUCCUAGGCCGUGAAGGGCUUUAAAGGUCAAAACCAGCACCUUAAAUCUGACCCUGUACUCCACCGGGAGCCAGUGCAGCUGGAAAAGCACUGGGUGAAUAUGCUCCCAUGGCAGAGACCCCGUGAGGAGCCUCGCUGCAGCAUUCUGCACCCGCUGGAGUUUCUGGGACAGCUUCAAGGGCAGCCCAGCAUAGAGCAAAUUACAGUAGUCAAGCCUGGAGGUGAUAUGGGAUAUGGGCCGCAUCAGCGUGACGGGAGACCGGAGUGAUGAAUCCUGGGGGACGCUGCGUUGGGGGGAGGCACCAGGCCUAGGUGUUAUCACCCAACAAAGGGGUGGUCCUGGGGAACAACUGUCUUGCACUGAAGCAAAUAAAGUGUGUGCAGCAAUGUGCAUACAUUAUCUAUAUCAUUCUUAUGGAAACUCGGUACUGUCAUCCCCACAUUGUAGAAGCAGGGGGCCAAAUAUAAGGUUUGUCUAAGGACACCCACGCAAAUUUUAAAGAACUGCAGUCCCACCCAACCUGAAUGAGCAGUACUGUAUUAAACUGAGAGCUACCAUUUGCCAUUACAUUCUAAGCUCCUGUCUCUAUAUCUCUAUGGCUGAAAGUCCUAUAUGCCUUGCAUGUGUUAAUAGAGUAGCAAAUAGUUCGAUUUCAUAGGAUUUCAAGCAAAUACCAGAAGUGCCAGUAAGGGUUGUAUUGGGACUGUACCUGCUUGAAGUCUCUUAGUCCUAGUGAGGUCUCGGUUAAGAAUCUAUGGCAGAAUUCAGGGACUUCCUGCCCCAUAGCUCACACUGCUGAUCACAGACCUUAAAGAUGUGUGACUUACUUUAAUGUCUGUUCCACCUUAUUCUUCAGAUGCAGAGUACCAUAAGACACGGGACAGAGGAAGACCUGACAAAACAGCUAUUUGUCUUUAUUAAUGAGCUUUUUUAAAAGAAAAAAGAAAAAUGCAUUGAAAUCUCAUGUGAUUAACAUGAAAAAGGAUAGCUAAGAUCUGCUUUAAUUGUUACCAUACAGCCUCCUUAUCAUCACUGCAUCGAAAGUACUGUAAAUGGCAAGAACCAUUUAAGGCUGAAAUGCAGAUUGCAGUUACUCAGGCAUAAAUCCAAGUGAAUUCACUGUUACUUACACACAUGUAAUUAAUAGCAAAUUGCUCCCAAGAAAUUAAAUUAAAACAUUAACAUUAAGAACACAGCACCUUCCGCCAUGAGUGUUAAUGAGAAGAGAAAACUGAAGCCCAAAGUUGGUGAAGUGUAUUUGUUAAUAUAAGCUAUGAGAUGGAAUAUAACAGUCCAAAUCUCACCUCAGCCAUGAACUCAUUAGAUGGCCUUAGGCAAGCCCAAAUUCUCUUGGGCUCAGCCUACCCAUCUGCAAAAUGGGUAUAAUAACAAUAUAGGUCCAGAUUACAUAACCAUUGGAUAAUAUGUCUGCAAUGUAUUGGACAUUGUGUGUGUGUGUGGUGUAAUUACUUGGAUGCAAAACAAUGUAAAUUCAGCACACCCAUACAGUAUUUUCCACAGGGCUGGGAUCCACCUGACUUUGAUAGAAAGCACUCCUCCUGUCAGUUUUCUCAAAGAUUUCUGGAAAUGCAUCACACACACUAAAAUAGGCCUGUCUCCCACAUCCUGUGUGUUUUGCUAAUAUGGGGGUUGUCUUCAUCUAGAGUACAGUGGUACCUCGGGUUAAGUACUUAAUUCGUUCCGGAGGUCCGUACUUAACCUGAAACUGUUCUUAACCUGAAGCACCACUUUAGCUAAUAGGGCCUGCUGCUGCUGCCACACCGCCGGAGCCUGAUUUCUGUUCUUAUCCUGAAGCAAAGUUCUUAACCUGAAGCACUAUUUCUAGGUUAGCGGAGUGUGUAACCUGAAGCGUAUGUAACCUGAAGCAUAUGUAACCCGAGAUAUCACUGUAUCUGAAAUUAACCUUUUGACUAUGCUGGAUAUUCAGCAAAGUUUGAACCCUGUUUCUCACCCCAAAUACAUACAUUUCGCUUUAGCCCCCAGGGGUACCAAUUUGAAUAAAAUAUUGGGGGGAGCAAUUAAGCCCUGCCCCACAUAAUCAAUCACAAAAUGUGGCAUGCACACACACCAUUUGAAUGACAAUGCCUGUCAACGGGGGGGGGCUCAAAUAUUUUAUUGGGGGUGCAAAGGGACAUCAGCUCCUAAGAGUUGUCUCCUAUAUUAGCUCGUAUCCUGUAACCUAGAGGUGGAGAACUACACCUGGGAGCCUCUCUACUUAGUGAUCUCUAUCUGGCCCUUGGGAUUCUCCCCAGACCACACUGCUCACUGAUUCUGUUUCACACCAGAAAUGCUUUUGCCUGGCUGGAAUGUGUCCUUGAAGUCUGAUUAUGCCUCUUGCUUGACUGAUGCGAGGAUAGAGAGUGUGUGAGUCUGUGUAGAAACUAGCCUACUGAACAAAGGCAAAAUUCUACCUUUGUUGCUCCACCCAUUUUUGCCUCUGGGACCGCCCACCACUGACAGGUGGCCCCCAGAAGGGAAUGUGGGCCUCUUUCUUUCUGCUUAUCAAACAGUGAGGGGCCCCACAGCCAAGUUGACUUGGUCAUUGCAGAAUCUGAAGUAUAUUUCUUCAUGGCAGCCUGUGGAGUGAUGGUCAGAGCCAUUUCUGUCCCUGCCACAUUUGUAGGUCAACAAACAAAAGGAGGCAGUCAUCAGUUGAGUGCUACCGAACCAAUCUUCUGGGCUGGCUUGGGCUCCCAGGAGAUGGAGUUCAAGUUAGUCUCUAAUAUCUUUGUUAUUCAUAUUUUAAACUUUCCUGGAUUGAAAAACAUACACUAAGAAUAUAUAUAUUUUUAACCACUUCCUAUAACUGAAGUAGCGUGUAUAUGGGUCACUGGAGACUGGGGUCUGUGGCUGCAAUACUGUACUCGUUUACCUGGGAGUAAAGGCCCUAGAACUCAGUGGACUUGCUUCUGAGUAAGUACGUAUAUAAUUGCAUUUUAUAGCAUGCUAAUUAUUAGAACCAGGCUAUUCAGCGCUUGAUCGGGGGACAGCGGAAUUGAGACCUGCCUUUACUAGGAUUGUGUUAGGAGUGAGAAAAUAUAAAAAUUGAAUUUGCAGCAGUUUAAUCAGUGAUGGCGCGUUCACACGUGCAAGUCGUAAUUUGAUGCUCCCGUCUCGGAGCGACGCACGUGCGAACCUGCUCUUAGACUCCUCCAGGCAUUGAAGAGUUUUGCUGCUCCGAGAAAUGCUAGUUCUGCGAUCAGCCUAAAAUUUUGCACAGCGUGAAACGACGAAGCGUGGCGUAUGCUUUCAGAAAUGCCAAUCAGCGACUCGCGGGACAGACUCGCCAGACAGACAAGCCUAACAUUUCGUCCAGCGCGCUGAUUAUGCGGAAGGGGCGACUGGCAGAAGUCCUGUCACUUUGCUCAACGAUUCCUACCGCGUACUUUACGUUCUUCUUUAAUCCAGGCCAUGUGCUGCUGUAGCUGUGGCCAGCUCCUGAGCCUCUUUACGGAGUCCCCCCCCCCUAAGUUUAAAGGGACUUAUUCCUAAGCAUAGCAUUGCCCCACUAGCCCUAUUUUGAGGGUGCGAAUUAUUCCGUGACAAUUUUACCCUGAGAGGUGGGAAUAUCCCGGUGAAUAUCCCGGUGAUCCCACAAUGUGCUCCUCUAAAUCCCCUUUUCCUGGAAAUUAAGGCUGCAAGCAUAGCAGCAAUCACUUGCGGGUAGGCCCUACGAAAUGCAACUGGCCUUACUUUCGAGGAAACCUACCUCGGCUCGAGCUAUAAAUCGCCUUCAUGUCAAUAAUCCUGCACCAGGAGUUGAGUGAAGAUGUGAUAAGGAGGACCCUGAAAAAGGGUGGAUAGGGGUGUUCAAAGGCCUUACACCGCGGGGCCUAUUCCCGAGCAAAUGUCCAUAGGACUGGGGUGCAGGUAAUUGUUAAUUAAUUAUUAUUAAUUAAUUAAUAGAAAUGAGAAUUAUUAGGAACGAGAGAAGACCUAUUUCCGACGCCAAGCUAGAAAAGCAUCUAUUCAACUUCCUCCAGAGCUAAGACUCUCCUAAUUUCAGAGACCUGGAGGUGUCAUGAUAAUAUCUGAAUUUCUUCUAACUUAACUGGGGCUUGAGCUUUCUUGCCUCCUCCUCCUCUCUCCCGAACCUUUUUCCUUCUGUGUUAUGUUGCUUUAGAUUGUGGGCCUUAAGGUCUGUAAAUCUCUGCGAGCCUUCUUGGGAAGGGGUGGGAAGCAAAUUCUUUAAGUAAGUGUAUAAGCAAACAUACUAGGCAUCGUUGCCUGUGGUACGGACCCUGCUCGCUGCAGCUCAGGCUGUGUCAUUUGAGUAGCCCAGUGGACCACAAGCCAAUAGAGUAAUGCCAAACGGUAUACCUUCAACCUUCCCUUCCUUCCUUCCUUCCUUCUUUCUCUCUCUUAACUACAUCACUCUCCCCCACACACCCCCAAAAAUACGGCCAAUGUCUUUUGUCUAUAUGCUUUGCUGUUAAAGGCGCAGGAAAUGAGCCUCUCGGGGCUCCCAUUUUAAAUGCAAAGAAAGAGGCCCGUAUCGAUAACAGGAGCACGACUCAAAGGUCACCCUCGUUCUUCUUCCCUAGACAACUUCGCAUCUGAUUUACAGAUUCUGUGAGGAAUCGCAUCAGAAGGAUCGAGAGAACAGGGCUGGGUAGGAAGCGCAUAAUCCGUGGCAAGGCUGAAGGAAGGGGCGGCAGGGGCAGGGGACAAAAAGGGCUGCUUUAAACAGUGCCAAAUAUAUCUUUCUCUCCCCCACACCAGGCUCCUUGCUACCAGCAGUCACCGCCCCUUCACCGGUAGAUGUCAAUGAUGUGUCAAACUUAGCCUCCUGCCCCUCCUCCUCUCCCACCCAAGACGCCGACAUUCAAGAGCAUCACUUCGCCUUUUUCACCGGUGAUUCAAAAAGCCUUCCAAAAAUAUGCGGGUUCUUCUCCAAGACGCACAGAGGCCGGUGUGUGUGUGAGAGCCUUAGACUUGUAAGAGCAUUAUUCACGUGAAAUGAGAUCUCCAGGCAGCCCGUCACUACUUGCAGCUGUUUGUUUUGCGAGGGGGCCUUGUCAGUUUCAGGCGGUGUCUCUGCUUUAGUUUAUUUUAGUCCUGUGGGGGGGGGGUUGAACAUCACCCCACCCACGCACCCCCUACCCCGGA